UGGCGGCAGGCCUAACACAUGCAAGUCGAGCGGUAACAGGAAUUAGCUUGCUAAUUCGCUGACGAGCGGCGGACGGGCGAGUAAUGCCUGGGAAUAUGCCUUAGUGUGGGGGAUAACUAUUGGAAACGAUAGCUAAUACCGCAUAAUGUCUUCGGACCAAAGAGGGGGACCUUCGGGCCUCUCGCGCUAAGAUUAGCCCAGGUGGGAUUAGCUAGUUGGUGAGGUAAAGGCUCACCAAGGCAACGAUCCCUAGCUGGUCUGAGAGGAUGAUCAGCCACACUGGAACUGAGACACGGUCCAGACUCCUACGGGAGGCAGCAGUGGGGAAUAUUGCACAAUGGGGGAAACCCUGAUGCAGCCAUGCCGCGUGUAUGAAGAAGGCCUUCGGGUUGUAAAGUACUUUCAGUCGUGAGGAAGGCAUUGUAGUUAAUAGCUGCAGUGCUUGACGUUAGCGACAGAAGAAGCACCGGCUAAUUUCGUG
rnacentral:rRNA from 1 species